GCCCUAGUAGCUCAGUAUU
rnacentral:tRNA from 3 species